rnacentral:lncRNA from 1 species
ACCUAUUACAGUGGGAACAGAAGAUAUCUGAUUUUCUUUGAAAUUGGAAAGGCAAUGGAAAAUGGAAACUCAUCCACCAAUGGUAUGCAGACUAUUUUGAGAGUGAACCUAAGCUGACUGACUUCCUUCAGUUGCCAAUUGCAGCUUGUUCUUAAGUUGGCAUCUCCUCAGUGUGAUCUCAUUGAAUAUCACAGCUCACAGGGAAUCUAAAUACUCUGUAGGGCUGUGCAAUAUUGUACUUUGCUCAUCCCAGUUCUGAAGCAAAGAUACACUUUUAUGUAUUACUGAUUUCUUAUCUUCCUAUCAGUUUUAUUAACUGUUUUUUGUGUGUUUUUUUUCCCCCAGUGUCAAGACGUUGCUGUUUCUGGGGUUUACUCAGUAGAAACUGCUGUAAGCCCCAUCACUGACUGAAAACACACCCUCUGAAUGGCACAUUCAAUUGCACAAUUUGUGGUAAACUAAUUAAAGGAGUCUAUCAUUGAUAAUGAAGCUGUGGCAACAAAACUGUUUCAUGAAUAUUUGCAGAAGGGGAACAGACAAAAGAGGCAGUAUGUUGGAGAGUUCUAGGAGUAAUGGCUACAUCUAUCUCCGAAUCAGUCCAUUG